rnacentral:rRNA from 1 species
UACGGAGGGUGCAAGCGUUGUUCGGAUUUACUGGGCGUAAAGCGCGCGCAGGUGGGUGUGCAAGUCGGAAGUGAAAUCUUGAGGCUCAACCUCGAGGCUGCUCCCGAAACUGCACGCCUAGGGACUGGUAGAGGCUGGUAGAAUUCCCGGUGUAGCGGUGGAAUGCGUAGAGAUCGGGAAGAAUACCCGUGGCGAAGGCGGCUCACUGGCCCAUAACUGACGCUGAGGCACGAAAGCGUGGGGAGCAAACAGG